rnacentral:rRNA from 1 species
AUAUAAGUAAGUGGUGGAAAUGAAACGAAAACGGAUUCUUCAAGUAAGGGCGACUGAAGAAGGAAGAGCUCAUAUCUAGAAGCAGAACCUUGUGUUUUGCGUUGUAAUAUCUUGACGCGUGACUAGUGGUGCGGCAGGUGUAUGUUUUUUGGAAAGAAAUGCAACGAAUGGUGACAGCCCAGUUCAACACUUGUGCAGUACUGCGUAAUGUCCGUGAUCUCCGAGUCGCGUUCUCUGGGAUGAGAACGUUAAUUAGGUGGUAUAUUUCAUCUAAAGCUAAAUAUCUUCUCGAGUCCGAUAGCGAACAAGUACCAUGAGGGAAAGAUGCAAAGUACUUUGAAAAGAGGGUUAUAUGCGCCUGCAACCACUGUAUUACAAGCACUUGGAUCCUUCUUUUUCGCUGGAUUAGUGGUUCAUCCGUUUACGCUUCGUUGUCGACGAGAUGUCGCGGCGUUGUCAUGUUUCGGUUCGUGCCGCGGAAUCCGGCGUUGAUUGCAAAUGCAACUAACGCGACGGCCAAAUCUCCAGUCCGACUUGCGCUUGCGUAAGUCUGUAUGGGUUAAGUCCGUUGUAAGUUUUGUUUACUAGAGGCCUGCAUUUUCUUGACCGGUGCUCUGGGGUUAGUUCUGACUUCGCAUGCGAUGACGACUAGUCUCUUGGCGCUUCAAGGCACAGUGUCUCUUCGGCAUUUGUACCAAAAGGUUUCGAAUGACCCGUCUUGAAACACGGACCAAGGAGUCCACACACGUGUGCGAGUACGUGCGGUGAAACCGUAUGUGCGGAGUGAAAGCGACAGUUUUAAUUUACGUUUGUAGAAACAACCGACUUCAAUUCUCGGAGAGAGGUUUGAGUGUUAGCACACCUGUUGGGACCCGAAAGAUGGUGAACUAUAUCUGAGGAGGGUGAAGCCAGGGGAAACCCUGGUGGAGGCUCGUAGCGAUACUGACGUGCAAAUCGUUCGUCACACUUGGACAUAGGGGCGAAAGACUAAUCGAACUAUCUAGUA